UACGGAGGCUCCAAGCGUUAUCCGGACUCAUUGGGUUUACAGGGUCCGUAGGCGGUCUCGCAAGUCAGUGGUGAAAUCUCCCCGCUCAACGGGGAAACGGCCAUUGAUACUACUAGACUUGAAUUAUUAGGAAGUAACUAGAAUAUGUAGUGUAGCGGUGAAAUGCAUAGAUACCAUCAGGAACACCGAUAGCGAAGGCAUUGUACGGGCCAACAACUGACGCUGAGGCACGAAAGCAUGGGUAGCGAACAGG
rnacentral:rRNA from 1 species